GACCAUCAUCAUUCGUGGAUUGUGCCAAGUUAAUGAACAGAAUGAUCAAGAGGUGCGGGAUGAUGUGCUUCAUGAGGAAGCACCAAACAAAUGGGACGCGUCCAAUUUGAGUUUGCAUACGAUCGCGCAAGGCAACGAUA
rnacentral:ribozyme from 1 species